rnacentral:rRNA from 1 species
GCUUACGGCCAUCCCACCCUGAAUGCGCCCGAUCUCGGCAGCUAAGCAGGGUCAGGCCUGGUUAGUACUUGGAUGGUAGACCGCCUGGGAAUACCAGGUGCUGUAAGCU